rnacentral:tRNA from 1 species
GGGGGUAUAGCUCAGUGGUAGAGUGCAUGCUUAGCAGGCAUGAGGCCUGGAGUUCAAUCCCCAGCACCGCUA